AGUGAACGCUGGCGGUAGGCCUAGCACAUGCAAUUCGAACGGCAGCACAGUAAGAGCUUGCUCUUACGGGUGGCGAGUGGCGGACGGGUGAGGGAUACAUCGGAAUCUACUUUUUCGUGGGGGAUAACGUAGGGAAACUUACGCUAAUACCGCAUACGACCUACGGGUGAAAGCAGGGGAUCUUCGGACCUUGCGCGAUUGAAUGAGCCGAUGUCGGAUUAGCUAGUUGGCGGGGUAAAGGCCCACCAAGGCGACGAUCCGUAGCUGGUCUGAGAGGAUGAUCAGCCACACUGGAACUGAGACACGGUCCAGACUCCUACGGGAGGCAGCAGUGGGGAAUAUUGGACAAUGGGCGCAAGCCUGAUCCAGCCAUACUGCGUGGGUGAAGAAGGCCUUCGGGUUGUAAAGCCCUUUUGUUGGGAAAGAAAAGCAGCAGGUUAAUACCCCGCUGUUCUGACGGUACCCAAAGAAUAAGCACCGGCUAACUUCGUG
rnacentral:rRNA from 1 species